ensembl:lncRNA
CUCAUUAGCUCCAUAAUGUAUCAGUAUACCUGAAAAGACAUCACUAUCUUGGCUGAUGGGCUCUUCUCUGUCCUGUGGUGGGACCAUUUCGGGACCAGAUGGAAGGCAACCUGACUACCACAGAAGAUACCUCACAGUUAUCCCAUCCAUCAGGAGAAUAUCAAGACUAGAAGACACACUACAACAGAUUGUUAACUCAAAGCUGAAUUUUUCUAUUACUGGAUUGUGCUGUAGCCUGCAAGGACUACUUCAGAAGGUGCAGGUCAAUGGUGUCUUCCAGCCCUAUCCAGACAUCUGCAGGACAGCUUUUAGUGUAUUUAAACAAAUAAAUUCUUUGUCUUUAGAAAUUAUGUAUGCCACAAUGUUUAUAGCAGCAAUUUUUCCACCUCUACGUUCUUCAGGCCAUAAUUUUGCUCUUACUGUGCCCUGAAUACUGCCAUUACAUUUGCUCAAACUGAUGCAGGAAGGAAUCUCUCCUUGCCGACAAUGAAGUUACAAAAUUUGUCUUUUUUUUUUUUUUUUUUUGUCUCCAGCAACUGUCAAAAGGUUACCUCAGUCCACCAGCUAACAUAAUAAGCAAUGAUAGCAUUAACAUUAGAAGAAUGGUGAAUACCAUUUAGUUAAAUCUAAGACCUGAUUAAAUUACAUGUGCCUGAAACUGCUCCAAUAUUUCUGAAACCUGUUUGACAUUCACAGUGAAAGCAUAGUCCCAGAAGAAAUGCUGGUACUUAUAAAACUGUAAUUGGUCAAAUUCUAUCUACAGAGGCAUCACUCUAAAUAUAACAUUUGAUUAGUAAUCAGACAUUUUGAAAUUAAUACAUACAAUUUCACCUCCUAAAUAUUCAGAUUUCUUUAGUAAUUCUUGAUAGCAGAACAAUUAAGUAAAGUAAAUGUGUAAAUAUAAAUCUUGUCUCAAGGUGUAAACACUAGCAAAAGCUCACCAAUUUAUUAACAAGAUGCUAUAAAAAGUAUAUUAUUUCUUGGUUCUAUAACUCAAAUAUUAAAUGUGUAAAUGUGAAAGAAAAAUCCUUUUUAUCUGUAGCCCA